rnacentral:rRNA from 1 species
CGGUGAAUACGUUCUCAAGUCUUGUACUCACCGCCCGUCAACUCAAGGGAGCCGGGAAUACCCGAAGAUCACCUAUGGUGGUUCACGGUAAGUUCGGUGACAGGGAGU